AGGGGGCCGCCUGGGUUGGUUUCUGUGUGUUCAGGGCCACCCAGCCCCGGCCCCGCGGGAGCGAGAGCGGCGGGGAGGAGGGAUGUGGUUUGGCUCCGCGCUGGGAGACCUUUAUCACCCCUGGGAAGGCGACGCGGACAGGCGGGGAGCUGCUGGCCGGUUGCCGGCCAGGAACCAGCAGUCGUCUUUCUUCCGAGUCGGGCGGGUCCCUGGUAGAACCUUCAGGAAUUCCUGAAGGUUGGAUACGUUGGCAGAAGGGAGAAGUAGACAGAGACAGACCUGGUCCCACAUCUCUCCUCCUUCUCUCCCUUCUUCCGCCGGAUUGAUUGUGUUUUGUAGACAAAGUGCCCCAGAGUAAACCAAGCAGCACUGGUCUGGAAGCAUUGCCCAGAGCUGGCAACUCAGCAAUUUGUUUCUCUCCUCUGUCGAGCAGGGCAAGUAGAGGGACAUAAGGGACAUAAGUUUGCUGAGCACACUUGUGUCUGAGAAACCUUAUCUCUUUACACACGAAUGUGUGUGGAAUUCUUGCUUUCUGUGAUGGAUUGUCUGCAGA